UGCCAGCAGCCGGGUAAUACGGAGGGUGCGAGCGUUAAUCGGAAUUACUGGGCGUAAAGCGCGCGUAGGUGGUCUGUUAAGUCUGAUGUGAAAUCCCUCGGCUCAACCGAGGACGUGCAUUGGAUACUGGGAACCUUGAGUCCUGGAGAGGAAAGCGGAAUUCCAAGUGUAGAGGUGAAAUUCGUAGAUAUUUGGAGGAACACCAGUGGCGAAGGCGGCUUUCUGGACAGUGACUGACGCUGAGGCGCGAAAGCGUGGGUAGCAAACAGGAUUAGAUA
rnacentral:rRNA from 1 species